GACGAACCGUGCGAACGUUAUUCGGAAUCAUUGGGCUUAAAGGGCGCGUAGGCGGCGGCGUCAGUUGGAAGUGAAAUCCCAUCGGCUCAACCGUGGAAUUGCUCCCAGUACUGCGUCGCUCGAGGGGGAUAGGGGUCUGCGGAACUACCGGUGGAGCGGUGAAAUGUGUUGAUAUCGGUGGGAACGCCAGUGGCGAAAGCGGCAGACUUGACCCUUCCUGACGCUGAGGCGCGAAAGCUAGGGGAGCAAACGGG
rnacentral:rRNA from 1 species